AUGUGUGGGGCUCACAAUCUCUAUUUGAUCUGCAGUAAUGGAGUACCAGGUACAGAUCAACAAUUUGAAGGCCAAGCUUCAGGAAACGCAUGCCCGCAAGAAGCAACAGGAAAAAUUGAUAAUGGAGGUGGAAAAUCAAGCCCUGAGGGAUCGUUUCCAGGGUCUUUUGAAUGGUAUGAUUCAUCAAGAAGAACAAGAGAUGGAACAGCUGGCCUCCCUUCAAGAGCAGCUGGACUCACUGAUCGAGAAGUGAUGCUCACAAUUACCAAGAUACUGCUAUACAAAGACUCUAACCAGAGGCGACUACUGAACACAUCACCGACUUUACUGCAUACAUUAGCUGAAUUUGAACAUCCCAUUUGUGUUGUGUUGUCAAUAUAUUCAACUUAUGGCUCGUCACACAAGUUUUUUCUCAUGCAAGAUUGUGUAUUUGUACUUUUUGUGACUUUGCCUAUAAACAUUUAGUAAACAGCAGAAUUGUUUUAAUAAAAUCAGGUGUGAAAUUGUUUUGUUAGCAUAUUUCUUCUGCUCCGUAAGUCUGCAAAUUUGUAAACUACUCCCAUUAUGUUGUUCAACAAAUUGAAAAACCAUACUAGAGACUUCUAGAUGAUUCUGUCUGAAGUAGUUCCCACUGAAUUAUACUAGCAAACUCUUUCUGGGAUUACUGAACUUUAUUGGCUUCCAGAAUGAUCUCAAUGGUCUCCAUACUCCACUUUCUGGUCACCUAUCCCUUCACUUCUUACAAGGGAUUAUACUGAAGAUUCAGGGGGUUGAAGGAUUGGCCAAGGCAGAUUAAAGUGGCGAUCCUCAACCUGGUAAUCCAGCCAUCUGUCAGAAAACAGUCAGGCAGCACUGGGCUGCAGGGUGUGAUUUGUCUCCCUUCCUCAGCUUGCUAAUUAACACUGCCAAGGACCAGCUCUCACAGGCUACAGGACAUCAGGACUGUUUCAGUAAAGAAACACUCUCUUAAGAGUUUAAAAUGCAAGAGACGUAUCUGCUUGACCAUCCUAGAGUAAAAAAGAAGAUUCUGCAUGGAGGUCAAGGACCAUUGCCGCAUUUUCCGAAGGGAACCAAGGUAAGGUGCAUAUAUGGUCCUAGUUAAAGUUUUUUACUGGACGUUUGUAAGGAUGGGUUCAUGUCUAACCAUUUGCUCUGAUUAGAAAUGGUUGUAGCCUGAUUCUGCUGAUGAUUUAAAAGGUUUUAUUAUGUGACAAAACAUUUGGUGCAUAUAAUUGCACAGACGUUUGGCAACCUAUCAUUUUGGACAGCGGCAAAGGAACACCGUAUCUGUGCCAGGUGACCCCCCUCCCCCACCCUUGUCAAGCCAUAUGGCCCUCAGCCUGGAGAGGAUGACAAACACUUUCCAUUACAAUGCCAACAUUAAUCUCUCCAUUUACCAGCUGUGCUCUGUAUUCACUCUAUAUUCACUAGGUGUCUGUAUCAACAUGCUUAAAAAAAAAAAAAAAAGACUAUACAUUUAAAUGUCUUAUAAUGAAGGCAGAUUGGACCAGGAAGCUACUAGGAUGGCAUGAGGAAAGAUGCCUUCUGGCCUGCUUAAAAACCCUGUAUUUCUCUCGGCAACACACAUAAACACGCACAGAGUAGCAAGGUACAAGAUGUGCAUGGCGUACUAAGCAAGAAAAAUAUCUCUGCUCUUUCUUAAUCCUGUUUUUCUUCUCUUUUUUUCCUCUGCCUUCCUACCCACAAAGCUGGUGUUCCACUUUCAUACUCUUUUAGACAACUUUGAAGAACAUUGAUUGACGACAGUCGCAAAAAUAAACGUCCCACAGAGAUUUUCGUGGGGAGGAUGUUCAAGAUGGAGGUGUGGGAGGUGCUGUUAACCUCCAUGAGGAUUGGAAAGGUGGCAGAGUUUUGGUGUGAUGCUAUUGUAAGUGUUUGAAAUCAAACUAAACCUCCUGUUGUGCCUCCCACUGUUUUUCUCUUUCUAUAGGUAUAGUCACAUCAGCUUCAAUUGAAUCUUAAUUAAUCCUCUCAUAAGAAUGAAAGAGAAUGUGUCUGAUGUAUUAUGCACCUUUGGUUGCUUCCUAUGUUUUUUAUUAACAUUUGCAUUUGUUGUUUUCUCCAAACAAUCCAAGGAAAUGAAUAAUCUAUUCUGCAAGUUAAAUUAGACUAAAGAUUCCGGUUAGAUGUUUGAUGUAGAAAUAAGUUGAACGAAAGAUAAGAUGUUACCUGCAAUGCUCUCCUGCUACUAAAUAUUUCAGCAACAUGGCAAAAGAAAUUAUAUUUUACCUGAGUUGUGAUUUUGAGUUUGCAGCAUAUAUCGAAUGUGGUACAGUUAAAACACUACGUACCAGAAAAUAAAAAAAAAAAAAAAAAAAAAAACCAUUUUGCUUAAACUUACUGCAAUGUGAUGAAGUGCCAUUUUUAGUCUGAAUAUCAAUACGAUUGCAGUAUGUGAAUCCAAACAGUGUAUAAAGACAGAGCAUUAUAUAAAAGCCUGUUCACAUCAUGAAUGAUAACUAUGUUUUAAUAAUCAUUCAAUGAUAAAAGUUCACACCACAGCUGUAAUGAUAACACAAGCUAU
rnacentral:lncRNA from 1 species